rnacentral:lncRNA from 1 species
UUUUAUCAGCUUGGUUUCGUAUCACAGGGAAGACGAAAACGACGGGAGCUACCAGGAAAUAGAAGAAGGUGAUGCAAACAUAGACGACAUCGUCCCCAUCGUAGCUGUCUACUCCAUUAUGCUCACAGCCGUGGCAGUUGUGGUGGCAGCAGUUACUAUUCUUGUCUGCAAGGACGUAAAAGAAAACCAGGACAGAAGAUGUGGUGAAUAUCUUACUGUGAUGGCAGAGAGAUUGUCCCGUGACUUCAGUGAUGUACCUUGUGCUUCCAACAACGACGGGGAUGUCUUAUCCCUACAUGAUUACGAGCGA